rnacentral:rRNA from 1 species
GACGAACGCUGGCGGCGUGCCUAACACAUGCAAGUCGAACGAAGCAUUUAAGUGAAUCCCUUCGGGGUGAAGCUUUUGUGACUUAGUGGCGGACGGGUGAGUAACGCGUGAGUAACCUGCCUUUCAGAGGGGGAUAACAGUUGGAAACGACUGCUAAUACCGCAUAACGUACAUUUAAGGCAUCUUAGAUGUACCAAAGCUGAGGCGCUGAAAGAUGGACUCGCGUCUGAUUAGAUAGUUGGUGGGGUAACGGCCUACCAAGUCGACGAUCAGUAGCCGGACUGAGAGGUUGAUCGGCCACAUUGGGACUGAGACACGGCCCAG